UAGCUCUUUUCUUCCAAAACACCCGGACUCGGUCUCAAAAUUCAAAAAUACUAAUUACUAGUACAAUAAAAUAUUCUAUCUUUUCUCAAAUCUAAACAAAGGAUAUAUAAAAACGAUACAAGCGUAGCUCAAACUCUAUUUUCAGUUUUAACAAACACCAAAACCAACAGCUUUCUCGACCCAGCAGAUUUUUGUUUUAUGGAUAAGACAGUACCUGGCAAGGAGGUUCCUGACGAGGUGACUCGAGAGUCGCUUAUUUCCAUUUCUUAUUCUGAACCAGAUAAGGUUCCAACUACAAAACUCUCGUCUGAAAAAUUGAACAGUGAGAAUCAUCUUGGAAGGGUUGAUUCCAAUGGGGAUGAAAAGUACAGGUCUGAGCUGAUUUCUAUUUCCUACACACAGUCACCUGAAACUGGGGGUCUACCUGUUUCACUUUCACUGGGAGAACUCAAGGAUUAGCCAGACAGCGGGUUCCAUCUUAUGGAUAUUGUGGUAUGUUGUAUUGUUGAACUGUGGUGAUAUUAAGUGCAUGGAUUUCUGGUCUACGUGUAAUGCACUACGUGUCUUUCUGGAAGUUUACAUUAUUGUAAAAUAAACCUCAGACAGAAUUUUACACCAUUUUGAGUGAGGAAGCUUUGCUCGGGCUAAUAUAUGAAAAUCUGUAGCUUCCUUGCAA